UACGUAGGGGGCAAGCGUUGUCCGGAAUCAUUGGGCGUAAAGCGCGUGUAGGCGGCUUGGUAAGUCUGCUCUGAAAGCCCGGGGCUCAACCCCGGGAGGCGGGUGGAUACUGUCAAGCUCGAGUCCGGAAGAGGCGAGUGGAAUUCCUGGUGUAGCGGUGGAAUGCGCAGAUAUCAGGAGGAACACCGGUGGCGAAGGCGGAUCUCUGGGCCUUACCUGACGCUGAGGCGCGAAAGCUAGGGGAGCGAACAGG
rnacentral:rRNA from 1 species